rnacentral:rRNA from 1 species
UGCCCUGGUUUUUCAAAAACAUCACUAGAAGAGAAAGACUUUUAGCAAUACCUGCCCAGUGCGAAAUAUUACUGUAAACGGCCGCCCUAGCGUGAGGGUGCUAAGGUAGCGAAAUUCCUUGCCUUUUGAUUGUAGGCCUGCAUGAAUGGUUUAACGAGGGUUUAACUGUCUCUUGAUUUAAAAUUGAAAUUGUACUGAAGGUGAAGAUACCUUCAUUAAAAAGUCAGACAAAAAGACCCCGUGCAACUUUGAAAAUUAACUUUAUUCAGAAGUGAAAGAUUUUUAGGUGGGGCGCCUAGAAAGUAAAUCUAACCUUUCUGAACAUUUAAUUCUUUCCGGACUUGACCCGAUUAUAUUCGAUCAUAGGAGAAGUUACGCCGGGGAUAACAGGCUAAUCCUUUAGUAGAGCUCGUAUUGGCUAAAGGGAUUGGCACCUCGAUGUUGAAUCAGGGAUGAUAGCUUCAAGGCGUAGAGGCUUUGAGAGUAGGUCUGUUCGACCUUUAAUACCCUACGUGAUCUGAGUCCAAAAACCGGA